rnacentral:rRNA from 1 species
GAUUAGUGGCGACGGGUGAGUAACACGUGGGCAAUCUGCCCUUCACUCUGGGACAAGCCCUGGAAACGGGGUCUAAUACCGGAUACUGACCUGCCAAGGCAUCUUGGCGGGUCGAAAGCUCCGGCGGUGAAGGAUGAGCCCGCGGCCUAUCAGCUUGUUGGUGAGGUAAUGGCUCACCAAGGCGACGACGGGUAGCCGGCCUGAGAGGGCGACCGGCCACACUGGGACUGAGACACGGCCCAGACUCCUACGGGAGGCAGCAGUGGGGAAUAUUGCACAAUGGGCGAAAGCCUGAUGCAGCGACGCCGCGUGAGGGAUGACGGCCUUCGGGUUGUAAACCUCUUUCAGCAGGGAAGAAGCGAAAGUGACGGUACCUGCAGAAGAAGCGCCGGCUAACUACGUGCCAGCAGCCGCGGUAAUACGUAGGGCGCAAGCGUUGUCCGGAAUUAUUGGGCGUAAAGAGCUCGUAGGCGGCUUGUCACGUCGGUUGUGAAAGCCCGGGGCUUAACCCCGGGUCUGCAGUCGAUACGGGCAGGCUAGAGUUCGGUAGGGGAGAUCGGAAUUCCUGGUGUAGCGGUGAAAUGCGCAGAUAUCAGGAGGAACACCGGUGGCGAAGGCGGAUCUCUGGGCCGAUACUGACGCUGAGGAGCGAAAGCGUGGGGAGCGAACAGGAUUAGAUACCCUGGUAGUCCACGCCGUAAACGGUGGGCACUAGGUGUGGGCAACAUUCCACGUUGUCCGUGCCGCAGCUAACGCAUUAAGUGCCCCGCCUGGGGAGUACGGCCGCAAGCUAAACUCAAAGGAUUGACGGGGGCCCGCACAGCGCGAGCAUGUGGCUAGUCGACGCACG